GGCCAAAGGCCCAGAGGAGGGCAUGACCAGACCAUGGAACCUUCCUGUUCUCUGCUGCUCAGCUGGAUAGUUGUUUCACCUUCCACAGGGACAUCGGUAAAAAGAUAAGUAAUCAAACUAAAACCAGCUUGGUUGCUUUUUUGGCAAUCAGCUUCUGUCAGUGGCCUUGGUGAUGGGGUAGGCAUAUCACAGCAGUCAUAACACUUGCAGUUCCCUGUGUCAGUCAGUCACUGGCGACAUGGUGGGCAUAGGAAGAUCAUAAGAACUUGUCUGCCAGCUGAGGCCACAUGUGAGCAGAAUAUUGUGUAGGGGCUGAGGCCAAGAGGCCCAGAGGUGGAUAUAACCAGACCAUUGAACGUUCCUGUCCUCUCCUGCUCAUCUGAAGAGAUGUUCUGCCUUCUACAAGCACACUGAUACAAAGAUAAGUAAUCAAAAUAACAUGCGCCGGCUGUAAUUUGGUUGUCAACUUCUGGCAACUUUCUUGGUGAUGCCGUGGGCAUGCCAAAGCAGGCAUAAGCCUGGCAGUACCAUGUGUCACAUAGGCAUUGGCAACAUGGCAUGCAUUGGGAGAUCAUAGAAGGAGCUGCACAUCUCUGCCAGACCAAGCAAGAGGAGAGAAGGAUGGUUAGCAUAUGCAGUGGUGAGAGGACAGGACAGCGGACAUAGAAGGGAAGGUUUGCGCCUGGGCAAUGAGGCAGGAGUGGUUGUGAUGCAACAGACUGUGUGUCCCCCUCCUUUGUCUUGGAGGGACAGAGGCCCAGAGGAGAGCAUGACCAGACCGUGGAACCCUUCAGUCUUCUGCUGCUCCACCUUUCACAGGGACAUCAAUACAAUGAUAAGCACAACAUUGGCAGUUCCCUGUGUCACACAAGCACUGGCAACA
rnacentral:lncRNA from 1 species